rnacentral:rRNA from 1 species
GGAGAGUUCGAUCCUGGCUCAGGAUGAACGCUGGCGGCGCGCCUAACACAUGCAAGUCGAACGGCACCCCUCUCCGGAGGGAAGCGAGUGGCGAACGGCUGAGUAACACGUGGAGAACCUGCCCCCUCCCCCGGGAUAGCCGCCCGAAAGGACGGGUAAUACCGGAUACCCCCGGGCGCCGCAUGGCGCCCGGGCUAAAGCCCCGACGGGAGGGGAUGGCUCCGCGGCCCAUCAGGUAGACGGCGGGGUGACGGCCCACCGUGCCGACAACGGGUAGCCGGGUUGAGAGAGAAGCCCCCGGAACCUCCGCGGCUUGGGUCCGGUAGGGGAGGGUGGAACACCCGGUGUAGCGGUGGAAUGCGCAGAUAUCGGGUGGAACACCGGUGGCGAAGGCGGCCCUCUGGGCCGAGACCGACGCUGAGGCGCGAAAGCUGGGGGAGCGAACAGGAUUAGAUACCCUGGUAGUCCCAGCCGUAAACGAUGGACGCUAGGUGUGGGGGGACGAUCCCCCCGUGCCGCAGCCAACGCAUUAAGCGUCCCGCCUGGGGAGUACGGCCGCAAGGCUAAAACUCAAAGGAAUUGACGGGGGCCCGCACAAGCAGCGGAGCAUGUGGCUUAAUUCGAAGCAACGCGAAGAACCUUACCAGGGCUUGACAUAUGGGUGAAGCGGGGGAGACCCCGUGGCCGAGAGGAGCCCAUACAGGUGGUGCAUGGCUGUCGUCAGCUCGUGUCGUGAGAUGUUGGGUUAAGUCCCGCAACGAGCGCAACCCCCGCCGCGUGUUGCCAUCGGGUGAUGCCGGGAACCCACGCGGGACCGCCGCCGUCAAGGCGGAGGAGGGCGGGGACGACGUCAAGUCAUCAUGCCCCUUAUGCCCUGGGCUGCACACGUGCUACAAUGGCCGGUACAGAGGGAUGCCACCCCGCGAGGGGGAGCGGAUCCCGGAAAGCCGGCCCCAGUUCGGAUUGGGGGCUGCAACCCGCCCCCAUGAAGUCGGAGUUGCUAGUAAUCGCGGAUCAGCAUGCCGCGGUGAAUGCGUUCCCGGGCCUUGUACACACCGCCCGUCACACCACCCGAGUCGUCUGCACCCGAAGUCGCCGGCCCAACCGAGAGGGGGGAGGCGCCGAAGGUGUGGAGGGUGAGGGGGGUGAAGUCGUAACAAGGUAGCCGUACCGGAAGGUGCGGCUG